rnacentral:rRNA from 1 species
AUGAACGCUAGCGACAGGCCUAACACAUGCAAGUCGAGGGCAGCGAGGAUGUAGCAAUACAUUCGUCGGCGACCGGCGCACGGGUGAGUAACGCGUAUCCAACCUGCCCUUCAUAUUGGGAUAGCCUCUCGAAAGGGAGAUUAAUACCGAAUAACAUAGUUUAGUUGCCUGACCAGACUAUGAAAGCUCCGGCGAUGAAGGAUGGGGAUGCGUUCCAUUAGGUAGUAGGCGGGGUAACGGCCCACCUAGCCGACGAUGGAUAGGGGUUCUGAGAGGAAGGUCCCCCACACUGGAACUGAGACACGGUCCAGACUCCUACGGGAGGCAGCAGUGAGGAAUAUUGGUCAAUGGGCGCAAGCCUGAACCAGCCAAGUAGCGUGAAGGAUGACUGCCCUAUGGGUUGUAAACUUCUUUUAUACGCGAACAACCGCAGGUACGUGUACCUGUCUGCGUGUAGCGUAUGAAUAAGCAUCGGCUAACUCCGUG